AGUGAACGUUGGCGGCAUGGAUUAGGCAUGCAAGUCGAGCGAGAAGAGUUUUGAAGCUUGCUUUAGAACUCGGACAGCGGCGAAAGGGAGAGUAACGCGUAGUUAUGUGCCCUAGGGUCCGGAAUAGCCACGGGAAACUGUGGGUAAUGCCGGAUAACAUCCCCGGAGCAAAGGUGUGAUUCCGCCCUAGGAGCAGACUGCGUCCUACUAGCUAGUUGGUGGGGUAAUGGACCACCAAGGGAAUGAUGGGUAGGGGGUGUGAGAGCAUGACCCGUCUCACUGGGACUGGGACACUGCCCAGACACCUACGGGUGGCUGCAGUCGAGAAUCUUCGGCAAUGGGCGAAAGCCUGACCGAGCGAUGCCGCGUGCGGGAUGAAGGCCCUCGGGUUGUAAACCGCUGUCGUAGGGGAGGAAGGUUCCGUGAAGAGCGGAAUUUGACCUAUCCUAGGAGGAAGUACGGGCUAAGUUCGUGCCAGCCGCCGCCGUAA
rnacentral:rRNA from 1 species